AUUGAACGCUGGCGGCAGGCCUAACACAUGCAAGUCGAACGAGCGGCGGACGGGUGAGUAAUGUCUGGGAAACUGCCCGAUGGAGGGGGAUAACUACUGGAAACGGUAGCUAAUACCGCAUACCAUCGGAUGUGCCCAGAUGGGAUUAGCUAGUAGGUGGGGUAAUGGCUCACCUAGGCUACGAUCCCUAGCUGGUCUGAGAGGAUGACCAGCCAAACUGGAACUGAGACACGGUCCAGACUCCGACGGGAGGCAGCAGUGGGGAAUAGUGGACAAUGGGCGCAAGCCUGAUGCAGCCAUGCCGCGUGUAUGAAGAAGGCCUUCGGGUUGUAAAGUACUUUCAGCGGGGAGGCGUUACCCGAAGAAGAAGCACCGGCUAACUCCGUGCCAGCAGCCGCGGUAAUAC
rnacentral:rRNA from 1 species